rnacentral:rRNA from 1 species
GUCUACGGCCAUGCUACCCUGAGCAAGCCAGAUCCUGUCUGAUCUCAGAAGCUAAGCAGGGUCGGGCCUGGUUAGCUCUUGGAUGGGAGACCACUUAGGAAGACCAGGUGCUAUAGGUG